AAUGUUAUUAGUCCCUGGGAGGUCUGGGUAUUUUCUCACGCAGACCUGAGAGUACGCAGCUCCUGGCUGUUCCUGUUAUAAAUGUUGCAAAUGGACAAUGACCAUAAUCAUAUCUAUUUAAGUCAAUGUGUUGGACUGUGAUAGUCUUCAUUCAUGUAGAGGCAAGAAUUCCGUUUAUGACUUCUGAAACUAGUCAAACAUUGGUAUUGAAAUCUGUCAGUGUUAAACAAUUUUAUUGGUUUUAUGCAUUAAUCAUGUGCUUAAAAGAAAACUAUCUCUGAUGGCUAUUAUUUUGAAAAAAGUCUACAAAAAUCUUUACAAUUAUUAUUUAUUUAUUGAAUUUAUAUACCGCCCUGUACCCAGAGGUCUCAGGGCGAUCACAGAAUAAAAUCAAUUAUAGUGUCAGUCUGUUCUGAAACGGAAAUUAAUUUCUGCCUUUCUGAGUUUUUGCGUUUUAUCAGUAGAAUGGCAAAAAGUAUCAACUGUUUGGGCCAUUUCAUUGUAACUGUGAAGUUUAAAAUUUGCACCUAUUUGGACUACUCAAGAGCAAAGUAGUGUGUGGGUAUGCUUCAGUAUCCUUCCCCAAAGUGUUAAACAAGUUGUGUGUGUGUGUGUUUAUUUAUUUAUAUAUGGUAUGUGCUUACACCCUAUGAGGAAAAGUCUGAUAUAUGCAUGGAUGUAUCAGUGUAGCUUUCAAAGGAUGAGAAUGAUGCUGCUAAUUUUGUCUGCUGGCAUUGCCGAUUAUAAAGUGAAUUUAGGGUGUCAUUACUACAUGCAAGUGUUAAUUGAUUCCUAAAAUCUAAGGCAUACAAAGUGGCUAAGGAGAUGCUAAUGGCAUAGCAUGCUUUCCAAGAGAAGAGAGCUAGGAGUUGGGAAACAACUGAUAUGAAGUUUCAACAUUUUAUCUCCAUCUCUAUGAAGUAGAUAGGCCUGAUCUGUAAGCAUACAUACUAUCCAUUGUGCUAAAGUACACUUCAGGAAAAGAGCAGCCAAAUCCUAUACAAAACCGUAUCUGAAAUCAAUGGGCUUAAGCAUACGAUUGCUCCUUAAUUUCUCAUAAAGAGCUGUAUUACUUCAAAAAUCCCUUUAUAUAUCUGUAAAGCUAUGAAGUAUUCAAGAGAGUGUUUAUAUUGCUGAAUGCAUAACUAGAGAAGCCAUUGCUGCUUUCCCAGUAGCGCUGCUAGAGAAUGGCAGUUUCUGUUUUUGGCUUGCAAAUCAUGUAAAUGUUUUGCCUUUAAUAAUAUUUCUCAAGAAAAGAACAUUGGGUCUUAUGGUAGACUUCUGGAUGCUCUACUACAUUAGGGUUCAGUCUGUCUGCACAAAAAUAAGUUGGCAAGGGGAUUUAGAGUUCACGGUGUAAGAGCAGAGCAGCCUGCAAGCAUUCUGUUCUCACAAUGGCUAACCAGAUGCCCAUGUAUCUUCUGUAUGUUCAUUUAUUUCAGUUUCAGUUGAACCUGCAAAUUGGAGUGAGGUAUUGUGUCUGCAUUAAGGAGGUAUCUACAUAUUCCAAAGUUAUUUUGUCCACUACUGUGCCCAACAUACCUGGAAUAUCCAUUUUUGCCUGAGCCAAAAUAUAUUCCGGAAUAUUGACUAUAUUGGUGGCCAGGAUAACAGCCUGCACAGCAUCCAUAUUCAGGUACAAGUUUGUAGCAUCUUGCUAGAGGGAAGAAAGGUAAGACAGGCACUUUAUUGAAAAGCAGGAAAUUUCCAAGGUUCAGGGCUGGAAAUAAAUGGAGGGCAAUUCCUGAUGGUUCAUUGGCAUCUCUUCCUUGAAACAAGGCCACUCUAAUGGAGUUGUCUCUACAUGUCUCUUCACUCAAAGGCUAGGAUGACUGUAUCUGAACAGUGAACUUCUUGGAAUUUUUUAAUUAGCUAAAGGACUAAUGGCUGCCUGGCUUUUGAUUGAAAUUGGAUAUUUGGAAAAUUUAGAAGAAAGAUGAAUGGGCCUACUCUGUAAUAGUUCACCAUCUUUUUAAAAUGCUCUCUCCAGAAAGGCACACCUGAUGACAAUUUUAUUAUCAUUUUGCCACCAGGGAAUAUCAUUUUUAUUCUUUGACAUAGGGGGCAGCUUUAAUUAUAUUGUUGCAGUUGCUCAAUCUGGACUUUAGUGCUGCUGUACUAAUGCCUUGUGUUUUAAUGUUUAGAAAAAUAAAAAAUAUUUAUUGUAAAUAGUUUUGAGACUUCGUAUAAAACAUCAUUCAAUAAUUGUAGGUGGUUGGUUAUUAUAACCUUCAUAAGCAGCUAUGAAGACAGAGGCUGUAUUAGAAUUAGCUUUACUAGUAAAUCCACACUUUAAAAUAUGCAGGCUUCCCAAAUUAAUUUCUUUCAAAAUCUGCCAAUCCAAUGUUCAGAACAACUUUUACAGAAAUGGAGAAAUAUGGUUGAAUAUGUUUACUUAGGAAUGGAAAAGCAAAAAUUGCUAGGAAGAUGAAUCACAGUACGGAAAGAAGGCUGGAAUAUUGCAUCGGAUGGUGUUGUGGUUUAAAGAGGCAAGUUAAGUAUUUUAGGCCUCUGCUUGAUUAUUUUCUUCAUUCUCAGACUUUUUUGGUUAAUCUGUCAUAAGCAAAUUGGAAAGCCUCAUCACCACAGUCAUAUGCUGGAGGCAGCAGUGUUGCUCUGCAAUUACUCUGGCAGAUGAUGUUCUUGGCCUUAUUCUGAAAAAAAGGUCUAGAGCUGUGCUUUCCCUCUACUGUGCCACUUUCUCUGUUCCUCCUCUUCAAGAUUGUUAUUAAUUUAAAUACUGCUUAAUGCUCUUAAAAUAGGUUUCUAAGUGGUUUAAGAUAAGAGGAUAAGAGAAACCUGGUAAACAGAAAGCAGCUUUUACAAUGGCAGAAGUAGUAAGAAGAUACCACUACCCUUUCUGAACUCUGGCUCUCUUAAAGCAUUCAUUUGAAUUUAACA